rnacentral:rRNA from 1 species
AGUGAACGCUGGCGGUAGGCUUAACACAUGCAAGUCGAACGGCAGCACAGUAAGAGCUUGCUCUUCCGGGUGGCGAGUGGCGGACGGGUGAGGAAUACAACGGAAUCUACAUUUUCGUGGGGGAUAACGUAGGGAAACUUAAGCUAAUACCGCAUACGACCUUCGGGUGAAAGCAGUGGAUCUUCGGACCUUGCGCGAUUGAAUGAGCUGAUGUCGGACUUGCUGGUUGGGGGGGUACAGGCCCACGAAGUGGACGAUCCGUAGCUGGUGUGGGUGGCGGAUCAGCCACCUGGGAACUGAGACGCGGUCCAGGCUCCUACGGGAGGCACCAGUGUGGAAUGUUGGACAACAGUCGCGAGCCUGAUCCAGCCAUACCGCGUGUGUGAAGAAAGCCUUCGGGGUGUAAAGCCGGUUUGUUGGGAAAGAAAAGCAUCAGGUUAAUACCCCGCUGUUCUGACGGUACCCAAAGAAUAAGCACCGGCUAACUUCGUG